rnacentral:lncRNA from 1 species
UUGUUUUAAAAUUUUUCAAAGCAAAGUUAAAAACAAAAUUGAAACUUGUAAAGAUGAUGAAGAAGGAGAAAGCAAUACAACUCGAUUUUAUAAAGGUUAGAUCCUCAAAGCCUACGUCUUCACUCUUGAUUCUAAAGGACUUUGAAUCCAUUAAGGAAUGCUUUUUAAAUCAGGUUAAAGCAUAACCUUUAAUAACUAACUUUUUACAAGAUAAGGUUUAACCAUAAUACCUUUUAAUGAAGGUAUAACCCACAACCACCUUUUCAAUGGAGGUAUAACCAACAACUACCUUUACAAUGGAGGUAUAACUGACAAUAAUAGUGGAAGCACUCCAGGAUUACAAAGCUAAUGACCUUUGAAGGCUGAUAAGCUAAGUUAAGUGCAAAAGAGUAAAGAUUUUUCAAAGAAUAAAGGUUGUAAAAAGAAUGCUCUGUUUAGGAAAUUGCAACAGAGAGAGAAGGAAUUAACUUUUUGGUUUUCUCAGCUUUUCUUUGAUGAUUUUUUGCUAUUUCUUCUGUCACGACCCGGAAUUUCCAUUGAACCCGGGACAACCGUCGCAAUGUCUCGAUUAACAUUCAUUACUCGGAAUGCCAACCGAAACCUCGCAAGGCUUUCGCAUCAGUUUUACUUCUCCCCUGUAAGCAACAGUUAUUAAAUACCAUGUUUUAAAGAAAUAUAGACUAAUUUCAAAUUAAAAACAAUCAAAAAGUAAUUUCUACUACACAGGGGUAUUUUGAUCAUUUUACUCAAAAUUUUUGAACCCUGGUAAAAAUAUGAUAUACGAGUAAUAAACAUCCAUUUCAUGUCUAAAAAUAAAUAUUCUAUUUUUUUUAUAAAAUAAUAUUUAUAAAACUCUGCGUAAAUAAUUUUUGUAGCAUAAAAAUAAAAUAAAUUCAUACAUACAGUAGCACACGCAACCAGGUAUACAAAAUAUUCUACAAUGAGAUGUGGGCCCCAAAAAAAAAUAUGUAAAAGAAGGUAGACCUUCGAUUUCUAAGGAUGUAAAUCCUAAAGUAAAUCAUCGAUGAAAUCAG